rnacentral:rRNA from 1 species
GACGAACGCUGGCGGCGUGCCUAAUACAUGCAAGUCGAGCGGACCAAAGGGAGCUUGCUCCUGGAGGUUAGCGGCGAACGGGUGAGUAACACGUGGGCAACCUGCCUGUAAGACUGGGAUAACAUCGAGAAAUCGGUGCUAAUACCGGAUAAUAAAAAGAACUGCAUGGUUCUUUUUGAAAGAUGGUUUCGGCUAUCACUUACAGAUGGGCCGCGGCGCAUUAGCUAGUUGGUGGGGUAACGGCUCACCAAGGCGACGAUGCGUAGCCGACCUGAGAGGGUGAUCGGCCACACUGGGACUGAGACACGGCCCAGACUCCUACGGGAGGCAGCAGUAGGGAAUCUUCCGCAAUGGACGAAAGUCUGACGGAGCAACGCCGCGUGAGUGAUGAAGGUUUUCGGAUCGUAAAACUCUGUUGUUAGGGAAGAACAAGUGCCGCGUCGAAAGGGCGGCACCUUGACGGUACCUAACGAGAAAGCCACGGCUAACUACGUGCCAGCAGCCGCGGU